rnacentral:lncRNA from 1 species
CAGGCCAAAUCAUGGCUGACACCGACAGCAAGAAGAUCGAUCUACCAGACGGGCUAUGCGUUGAAAUAUCUCCUGACGGUUGUACAUACCACGAUGGUCUUUGCUUCCAUUGUUUGGUAACUGACGUCUACUACCCCACUAUGGAUGACUGCAAGAGCAAUUGCAACAAAUCCUCGUCUUUACAAGACGUGCUAGUUGCCAUGACAACCUCCCCUCCUCCUCCUUUAUCUGCUCCUUAAUUUUCCGGCCUAGACAAUGGUUAUAUGUACAAGAUUGUCCCCUGAAAAUAAUGCCUAUGUGCGGAAACCAGUUAUGCAAUGCGAGUAAUAUACUGCAGCAGUUGUUGCUGAGUAUUUUGGUUUGGCAAAUCACAUUUGAACCUUUACUAGGAAUUGUUGGGAGAGCGAUGAAAUGACUCGCAAGCGCAGAUGCUCCGGAAAUCCGAGUGGUACAGCUUAGCUUGGGAUCUGUGUCGGUUAAAUCUGUGUCACAUAUACGUUUUAGAAUACAGAGGUGAAUACAUCUGCAGAUGGGCUAUACUGGACCAUAGUACUAACUCCUCGCAAAGUCGCAAGUCUCCUCUCUUCAAGUCCAUCGAUGUCCCAUGCAAAAUAAAAUGAAAUAAGUCCAUCGAUCUCUCACUUAAAAAGAGUCCUAUGGCUAUGGAUGACCAGGGAGGCCGCCCUUGGCCAAUAUCCGGCGCCGGUGAGUUCGUCUACCCUGUCAUGGUGGGUUUCUCAUCUAUCCUACCUCUCAUGAGGCGUCCGGUUCUUGUCUUUCCCAAGCUCACAUUAAUAUUCCCAAAUCAGCCCUCGGCCGGCCUUGGCGACAUCAUCUUCAUCCACUCCCGUGCUGCACACACCCAUUUCUCUGAUCUCUUAAAGCAACUCUAGCCGAGCCCAUAAAAGAUACAGGAGUAUUUGGCCGGGUAAACCUUAAUGGAGUAAAUUUAGUCCACUAAGUUUUGGUCGGUUCUAGCUGAUCCCCUAAAUUUAGCGGAGUAAAAUAAAAUUUGGUUAAGAUGAACAUAGAUUCGAUCUAAAUAAACUUCUAAACCGAAAUUCGACACGUAAUUUACAUUAUCAUCCGUCGAAACAUAGUUCAAAGUGAUACUAAAACUUGAACUCAAACAUAAGCUAAAAUCUAAAUCUAACCAAAAAAAUUAGUCGCUAUUCGACUUUGCGAGGGAGAGCAAGUCCUCCCUAGAGAUUCCACCGCCCAUGGGGUCAGUCCCUAGGUCGUCUUCGUUGUAUCCAGGAAGGUCCUUCACCACUCCUCGAUGUUGAAGCUGUCAUCGUUGCCGCCUCCACUGCCACCAUUGUUGCCGCCUCCACCGAGCCAGCUCGUCAUCGACCAGCGCCCACGUGCAUCUAGGGAUCAUACAUUCAACAGGGGGUGACUCCAUGAGUCAGGUGAUCCACAAAAACCGCAUGACCUAGAGUCCGCCAUAUGGCUGUGUGCCCCAACAUCAUUUGUUGGUAAAGAAUGUAUGGAUAGAUGCCAAAGGAACAGCCUCACGUUUCCCGGCACCAGAACUUUCCAUAAACUUUUCCAUGAGCCCUCUUCAGCAGCCGAGGUGGAGGAACCAUCCCUUUGAUCUAAGCAUGACUAUUGGAGAAUUAAUUACAAUUCUGAAAUAUACAAAUAUAGACAUAGGAGAUAAGUCCAACCAAAUUUGGGAACUUGUCUAAAAAGGGAGAAAAUUAGUCUGACUUGAUUUGUGCUUUUAAUGAGGGUUCAUAAUAUAGGAUGAUAUUAAAUAAAUCCAAUUUUAUUGCUUGAUGGUUUACACGGGAUAAGGAUGACCGGUUCUCUCUUCUCUCAAUAUAUACGAUCGACUCAUGUGCUCAUUGGUAACCAAACAUUUCUCAUCGACAACCAAAGUGACCUGAGAGCUUGCGUAGCUACUGUUGUAUCUGGUUGGCCAUGGACAAGUACACGAUUCGCAUCCUUGCACUAGGAGCCCUAGUGUGUCUACAUCUCGUAUGCUCUGCUACUGUUGCUCAAUGUAAGGCAGCUAGCACACCCAUAUUUAUGUAUCUUCACAAUGCUUAAUUUUUCUUCACUUGUCCUGGCUGGAAGUAUGUACCUAGUAUAGCUAUCAAAGGCCUUUCUAUUUUGCUUCGUAACUGGUUCCAUCGUUUAUAUGCAUAUAUAUACAUACACACUACUCUAAAAUAAUUGCAUAACGAUGGUUGUUCGUUUGUUAUUAUUCCAUAAUAUACAGGCCAAAUCAUGGCUGACACCGACAGCAAGAAGAUCGAUCUACCAGACGGGCUAUGCGUUGAAAUAUCUCCUGACGGUUGUACAUACCACGAUGGUCUUUGCUUCCAUUGUUUGGUAACUGACGUCUACUACCCCACUAUGGAUGACUGCAAGAGCAAUUGCAACAAAUCCUCGUCUUUACAAGACGUGCUAGUUGCCAUGACAACCUCCCCUCCUCCUCCUUUAUCUGCUCCUUAAUUUUCCGGCCUAGACAAUGGUUAUAUGUACAAGAUUGUCCCCUGAAAAUAAUGCCUAUGUGCGGAAACCAGUUAUGCAAUGCGAGUAAUAUACUGCAGCAGUUGUUGCUGAGUAUUUUGGUUUGGCAAAUCACAUUUGAACCUUUACUAGGAAUUGUUGGGAGAGCGAUGAAAUGACUCGCAAGCGCAGAUGCUCCGGAAAUCCGAGUGGUACAGCUUAGCUUGGGAUCUGUGUCGGUUAAAUCUGUGUCACAUAUACGUUUUAGAAUACAGAGGUGAAUACAUCUGCAGAUGGGCUAUACUGGACCAUAGUACUAACUCCUCGCAAAGUCGCAAGUCUCCUCUCUUCAAGUCCAUCGAUGUCCCAUGCAAAAUAAAAUGAAAUAAGUCCAUCGAUCUCUCACUUAAAAAGAGUCCUAUGGCUGUGGAUGACCAGGGAGGCCGCCCUUGGCCAAUAUCCGGCACCGGUGAGUUCGUAUACCCUGUCAUGGUGGGUUUCUCAUCUAUCCUACCUCUCAUGAGGCGUCCGGUUCUUGUCUUUCCCAAGCUCACAUUAAUAUUCCCAAAUCAGCCAUCGGCCGGCCUUGGCGACAUCAUCUUCAUCCACUCCCGUGCUGCACACACCCAUUUCUCUGAUCUCUUAAAGCAACUCUAGCCGAGCCCAUAAAAGAUACAGGAGUAUUUGGCCGGGUAAACCUUAAUGGAGUAAAUUUAGUCCACUAAGUUUUGGUCGGUUCUAGCUGAUCCCCUAAAUUUAGCGGAGUAAAAUAAAAUUUGGUUAAGAUGAACAUAGAUUCGAUCUAAACAAACUUCUAAACUGAAAUUCGACACGUAAUUUACAUUAUCAUCCGUCGAAACAUAGUUCAAAGCGAUACUAAAACUUGAACUCAAACAUAAGCUAAAAUCUAAAUCUAACCAAAAAAAUUAGUCGCUAUUCGACUUUGCGAGGGAGAGCAAGUCCUCCCUAGAGAUUCCACCGCCCAUGGGGUCAGUCCCUAGGUCGUCUUUGUUGUAUCCAGGAAGGUCCUUCACCACUUAUCGAUGUUGAAGCUGUCAUCGUUGCCGCCUCCACUGCCACCAUUGUUGCCGCCUCCACCGAGCCAGCUCGUCAUCGACCAGCGCCCACGUGCAUCUAGGGAUCAUACAUUCAACAGGGGGUGACUCCAUGAGUCAGGUGAUCCACAAAAACCGCAUGAGCUAGAGUCCACCAUAUGGCUGUGUGCCCAAUAUCAUUUGUUGCUAAAGAAUGUAUGGAUAGAUGCCAAAGGAACAGCCUCACGUUUCCCGGCACUAGAACUUUCCAUAAACUUUUCCAUGAGCCCUCUUCAGCAGCCGAGGUGGAGGAACCAUCCCUUUGAUCUAAGCAUGACUAUUGGAGAAUUAAUUACAAUUAUGAAAUAUACAAAUAUAGACAUAGGAGAUAAGUCCAACCAAAUUUGGGAACUUGUCUAAAAAGGGAGAAAAUUAGUCUGACUUGAUUUGUGCUUUUAAUGAGGGUUCAUAUUAUAGGAUGAUAUUAAAUAAAUCCAAUUUUAUUGCUUGAUGGUUUACACGGGAUAAGGAUGACCAGUUCUCUCUUCUCUCAAUAUAUACGAUCGAUUCAUGUGCUCAUUGGUAACCAAACAUUUCUCAUCGACAACCAAAGUGACCUGAGAGCUUGCGUAGCUAGUGUUGUAUCUGGUUGGCCAUGGACAAGUACACGAUUCGCAUCCUUGCACUAGGAGCCCUAGUGUGUCUACAUCUCGUAUGCUCUGCUACUGUUGCUCAAUGUAAGGCAGCUAGCACACCGAUAUUUAUGUAUCUUCACAAUGCUUAAUUUUUCUUCACUUGUCCUGGCUGGAAGUAUGUACCUAGUAUAGCUAUCAAAGGCCUUUCUAUUUUGCUUUGUAACUGGUUCCAUCGUUUAUAUGCAUAUAUAUACAUACACACUACUCUAAAAUAAUUGCAUAACGAUGGUUGUUCGUUUGUUAUUAUUCCAUAAUAUAUAGGCCAAAUCAUGGCUGACACCGAUAGCAAGAAGAUCGAUCUACCAGACGGGCUAUGCGUUAAAAUAUCUCCUGAUGGUUGUACAUACCACGAUGGUCUUUGCUUCCAUUGUUUGGUAACUGACGUCUACUACCACACUAUGGAUGACUGCAAGAGCAAUUGUAACAAAUCCUCGUCUUUACAAGACGUGCUAGUUGCCAUGACAACCUCCCCUCCUCCUCCUUUAUCUGCUCCUUAAUUUUCCGGCCUAGACAAUGGUUAUAUGUACAAGAUUGUCCCCUGAAAAUAAUGCGUAUGUGCGGAAACCAGUUAUGCAAUGCGAGUAAUAUACUGCAGCAGUUGUUGCUGAGUAUUUUGGUUUGGCAGAUCACAUUUGAACCUUUACUAGCAAUUGUUGGGAGAGCGAUGAAAUGACUCGCAAGCGCAGAUGCUCCGGAAAUCUGAGUGGUACAACUUAGCUUGGGAUCUGUGUCAGUUAACUCUUUGUCACAUAUACGUUUUAGAAUACAGAGGUGAAUACAUUUGCAGAUGGGCCAUACUGGACCAUAGUACUCAGUACUCGCAAAGUCACAAGUCUCCUCUCUUCAAGUCCAUCGAUGUCCCAUGCAAAAUAAAAUGAAAUAAGUUCAUCGAUCUCUCGCUUAAAAAGAGUCCUAUGGCUGUGGAUGACCAAGGAGGCCGCCCUUGGCCAAUAUCCGGCACCAGUGAGUUCUUCUACCCUGUCAUGGUGGGUUUCGCAU